rnacentral:rRNA from 1 species
GAUGAACGCUGGCGGCGUGCCUAAUACAUGCAAGUCGAGCGGACAGACGAUGAGCUUGCUCCUCUGACGUUAGCGGCGGACGUGUGAGUAACACGUGGAUAACCUACCUAUAAGACUGGGAUAACUUCGGGACACCGGAGCUAAUACCAGAGAAUAUCUUGAACCGCAUGGUUCAAUAGUGAAAGACGGUGUUUCUGUCACUUAUAGAGGGAUCCGCGCCGCAUUAGCGGGUUGGUAAGGUAACGGGUUACCAAGGCGACGAUGCGUAGGCGAACGGAGAGGGUGGUAGGCCACACUGGAACUGAGACACGGUCCAGACUCCUACGGGAGGCAGCAGUAGGGAAUCUUACGCAAUGGGCGAAAGCAUGACGGAGCAACGGCGCGUGAGUGAUGAAGGUCUUCGGAUCGUAAAACUGUGCUAUGAGGGAAGAACAAAUGUGUACGUAACUAUGCACGUAUUGACGGUAACUAAUAAGAAAGCCACGGCUAACUACGUG